rnacentral:rRNA from 1 species
UACGGAGGGUGCAAACGUUGCUCGGAAUUAUUGGGCGUAAAGCGCACGUAGGCGGUCUAUUAAGUCGGGUGUGAAAGCCCUGGGCUCAACCCAGGAAGUGCACUCGAAACUGAUAGGCUUGAGUACGGAAGAGGGUCUCGGAAUUCCCGGUGUAGAGGUGAAAUUCGUAGAUAUCGGGAGGAACACCAGUGGCGAAGGCGGAGACCUGGGCCGAUACUGACGCUGAGGUGCGAAAGCGUGGGGAGCAAACAGG